rnacentral:rRNA from 1 species
UACGUAGGGGGCUAGCGUUGUUCGGAAUCACUGGGCGUAAAGCGCGUGUAGGCGGCUAAGUAAGUCGGGUGUGAAAGCCCUCAGCUCAACUGAGGAAGUGCGCCCGAAACUGCUUGGCUUGAGCGCCGGAGAGGAUGGCGGAAUACCCCAAGUAGAGGUGAAAUUCGUAGAUAUGGGGUGGAACACCGGUGGCGAAGGCGGCCAUCUGGACGGUAACUGACGCUGAGACGCGAAAGCGUGGGUAGCAAACAGG